GAUGAAGAACGCAGCGAAAUGCGAUAAGUAAUGUGAAUUGCAGAAUUCAGUGAAUCAUCGAAUCUUUGAACGCACAUUGUGCCCGCCAGUAUUCUGGCGGGCAUGCCUGUUCGAGCGUCAUUACAACCCUCAGGCCCCCGGGCCUGGCGUUGGGGAUCGGCGAGGCGCCCCCCGCGGGCACGCGCCGUCCCCCAAAUACAGUGGCGGUCCCGCCGCAGCUUCCAUUGCGUAGUAGCUAACACCUCGCAACUGGAGAGCGGCGCGGCCAUGCCGUAAAACACCCAACUUCUGAAUGUUGACCUCGAAUCAGGUAGGAAUACCCGCUGAACUUAAGCAUAUCAAUAAGCGGAGGA
rnacentral:misc_RNA from 1 species